rnacentral:rRNA from 1 species
AACGAACGCUGGCGGCAGGCCUAACACAUGCAAGUCGAGCGAGGACUUCGGAUCUAGCGGCGGACGGGUGAGUAACGCGUGGGAAUGUGCCCUUCUCUACGGAAUAGCCCUGGGAAACUGGGAGUAAUACCGUAUAAGCCCUUUUGGGGAAAGAUUCAUCGGAGAAGGAUCAGCCCGCGUUGGAUUAGGUAGUUGGUGGGGUAAUGGCCUACCAAGCCGACGAUCCAUAGCUGGGUAGAGAGAAUGGUCAGCCACACUGGGGCUGAGACACGGCCCAGACUCCUACGGGAGGCGGCAGUGGGGGAUCUUAGACAAUGGCGGCAGCGCUGAUCGAGCCAUGCCGCGUAAGUGAUGAAGGCGUUAGAGUUGUAAAGCUCUUUAAGCUGGGAAGAUAAUGACGGUACCAGAAGAAGAAGCCCCGGCUAACUCCGUG